CCGAUUUUCUAUCCAAUUUCCAUAUCUUUAAAUUCAGCCAGUUCUCUCUUUUCUCAUUAUAGUUUCACUUUUAGCUACUGAAAUUCCCCCAACUUUCCGUUUCCAAUUAUUGUGAUAAGAAAUACAUUCAACUGUAACAUCAUUUUCUUAUUCUUCGAAACCAUCAACUUCUUCACUGGUAAAUCUUCAAGUCGAUUUUCUCCAUUUUUUUCUUCUUCAGUUUCAUUAAAUUCAUGAACUUUCCUUACCAACCAUC
ensembl:snoRNA F29G9.19 ncRNA